AGGGAAUCUUCCGCAAUGGACGAAAGUCUGACGGAGCAACGCCGCGUGAGUGAAGAAGGCCUUCGGGUCGUAAAACUCUGUUGCCAGGGAAGAACGUCCUGUAGAGUAACUGCUACAGGAGUGACGGUACCUGAGAAGAAAGCCCCGGCUAACUACGUGCCAGCAGCCGCGGUAAUACGUAGGGGGCAAGCGUUGUCCGGAAUUAUUGGGCGUAAAGCGCGCGCAGGCGGCUGUUUAAGUCUGGUGUUUAAUCCUGGGGCUCAACCCCGGGUCGCACUGGAAACUGGACGGCUUGAGUGCAGAAGAGGAGAGUGGAAUUCCACGUGUAGCGGUGAAAUGCGUAGAGAUGUGGAGGAACACCAGUGGCGAAGGCGACUCUCUGGGCUGUAACUGACGCUGAGGCGCGAAAGCGUGGGGAGCAAAC
rnacentral:rRNA from 1 species